rnacentral:piRNA from 1 species
UAACUGCUUGUGCCUAUAGGGGACAUUUUUC